GUUAGAGAGAAGGGAAGAUGGCCCAUAAUUUAAGCACAAAUGCCCCAAGUGCCCGCUCUCCUAUGUGCUCUGUGGGUUUCUGGCCUGUGGCUGACCCAGUUAUGGGUGCGAUUUGUGUCUCUGGGAUGCCCUUCCUUCCCUUUGCUUUCCCAUGAUAUAGGUGCCUGGCCCUGAGCAUAGGUUCAAGUACAAGCCUGUGUCACAACACCUCAGAGGCUCCACCCCUGGGUUCUUGUUCUGGGUGACAACUUAGGAAGAGCACAGUUUUGCUGCUGACCUAUCUAGUUAGGGAGGCAGGUGUUCCCCAGUGGUUUCUAGCCCCAGCUCCUGCUCCUCAUCACAGCCAGCCAUCUGUCUUGUCAGGUAGACUUGUCUCUGAAGACUGCUUUGUGGAAGAGCAGGUGGAUUUCGGUCAGCUGCUCCUUCUUUCUAGAGGCAAGCAGUGGUCAACCACCCCACAUUCCUGCCAGUCUCCUGCCCCCAGCAUUGGGCUUUGAUGGACAUUUAGUGUCCUUCCCUGGUUUUCUGUUACUGGCAUAGGAAGUUAGUUGAGAGAAAGGAGGGUAGCUUUGGAAAACCUGCCUUUCACUCUUCCUGCUCGCCUUCAUGUACUUCAGAGCAGAUCUUUACACCGUUCGCUCUAGAGCCUGGUGACCUCCUUGGUUCCAGACCUCUGGGUCACUGUGUACAAGCCCAUGCCACCAACUUCACUGUCACCACAAUCUGAAGCACACUACUCCUAAUGUUCACUGGGUCAGAGCCCAUAGGCAGUAGCCUUCUUUUCUGCCUUACUGAGUCUGCCUAGAUAUUUAUUUCCUGGGUUUCUUUUUAUGAAUAGGUAAG
rnacentral:lncRNA from 1 species